rnacentral:misc_RNA from 1 species
GGGGAGUUUGUUAGAGAAAUCCCACUUUCAACUAGAAUUCCUGAGGAUGCUAACAUAAAAGCAUAUUAUGAUGGGCCAGGAUCUGUGCUGGAGAUUCUAGUGCCUAAACUUCGCGAGGGACCAGAAGAGCAUGAGGUUCUUGUUUGCCUUCGUCCUCACCUCGGAGGCAAUAAUCUCAUGUUAACUUGAGGUAGGCAUUGGGCGGUUGCAGUAUUUGGUACUCUAUUGUUUAACUAGG